rnacentral:lncRNA from 1 species
CUGGAGGCUGAGUAGUCCCAGGACCUAGCAUGUGCAAGCUGGAGAACCAGGAAAGCUGGGGCUGUAAUUCAGUCCCAGUCUAAAGGCCUGAGAAUCUGGGAAGCUGACAGUGUGGAGCAGGGAGGAUGAGGCUUUGCAGGCAGAUGGGGUCCCCUUCUCUCUGGUCCUUGGUCUCCACUUCUGUAAAGUGGUGAAUAUCAAACCUGACUUCCAAAGUUGCUGGGGAGACUCCAGAAAAUGUGUGUUAGGUACCUUGUGCAGUUCCUGGCAUCUAUCAGCGACUGAAUGACAGAUGAUCAUGAUGCUUCCUAUGGAAGGUACCUAGAGCCAGAGAAGAUGAAAUGAGAUGUCCCAACCCAAGCAGUCAGGGAUGAUGCAAAAAGGGGCAAACUGCUGCUUCCUCUGCCUUUGAUUCUGCUCAGGCCCUUCAGGGAUUGAAUGAUGCCCAACCACUUGGGGAGGGCAUCUCCUUUACUGAGUUCACUGGUUCAAAUGCCAAUCUCACCUGGAAACACCCUCACAGGCACACUCAGAAGGAAAUUUAAUCUUGGCACCCCAUGGCCAGUCAAGGUGACCCAGAGAAUUGACCAUCAUAGUUACUUUUAAGGCAAUUCUGACAUGAACUCAAUUCCAUCUUAUGGUUUUGUUCCAUGAACAAAACCCAGAGAGGUAAAUGUGGUUUGCAGGUGGUGGGAAAUCAAUGUCUCAGGUGCUCUUCACGCUGACUUGUGUAAUCCUUCCCGGGAGAACUGAAGACUCCCAGCAGGGAGCUAACAGGGUUUCUUCUCUUCUUAUCUCUGCUCUAGCCACUAUCAGUGUGCCGGGUCCCUCUGAGAGACAAAUGGGAAACUCAAAAGGGAGGAAUCUCCCAGUGUUUGUGCCAUGUUUUGAUCUGACUGAAAGCCAUAAACAUAGCCGAAGCCUGGGCCAUCCACAGAAGACCCAAUGUUCUCUUUUUCCAAGUGGGCAUUUUGUAUCUCUGAAGAGUUCUAGACUGAGCUACAUCAGUAGACCUCUGCAUUUAAAGGGAGCAAUUCUCAUCCGAGGAUCCUGA